rnacentral:lncRNA from 1 species
CCUAUUCUCACGCCAAGGUAACAAGUACCAGUAGCUCCAAUUAUGUUGUAAAGUUUCCCCAUAUGCAGCCAAUCAUCAAACUAGAAAAAGCCUUCCGACUGGUUUCCAUUCGAAUGAAAGGAUAAGCCAACUCUCUCAGUUUGAGAAGCUUUCUCCAAAUCCAUGAACCUUUAUUGUCAUCUCUAACAUCCCAAAAGGAGCUCUGCUGCAACAAGUAAUGUUGCACCCAUGAAAACCCUAAUAAUCCUGAUAGUGUUAGCAACCUCCAUAUCAAA